GUAAGCAGGUCCUAUUCCAAGGAUUACCUUGAGUUUCUUCUUGUUAUUUUGUUGUUUGCAUUGGCGGCAUUGUUAACCAAUGCACCUGGUUGUUAUUCGCAGAUUGUGUGUGGUUGGGCAGUGCUCGGUGGCGAGCCUCUGCGCUGUUGCUGUCUGUUGUUGAUGUUGCUGAUGUUGCCUCCAUAGCAGGAGGUGUUUGGCACCGGCUGUCCCGCAGUGCCAGACGCUUGCUGCGCCCGACGGGUGCGGAGGGGGUUGAGCCGAGUGGUGGCGACUAGCGCGCUAGUAAUCUUAAGUAUUUUUAAUCAGUACCAACCAAACGGCCCAACGACCCAUCCCUUAAUUUUUCUUUUUAAAUAUUUGUGUCUAACCCACAAUUAAAUUGUUGUCAAUUUAAAUA